rnacentral:misc_RNA from 1 species
GCAAACUUGGUCAUUUAGAGGAAGUAAAAGUCGUAACAAGGUUUCCGUAGGUGAACCUGCGGAAGGAUCAUUACCGUUGGAGCUUGCUCCAUCUGGGAUAGAACCCUUGAAUUUGAGUACCUAAUUGUUUCCUUGGUGGGCUUGCUUGCCAGUGGACAACCAAAAACCCUCUGUUAUAGUAGUAUAUUCUGAGAAAAACAAAUAGUCAAAACUUUCAACAACGGAUCUCUUGGUUCUGGCAUCGAUGAAGAACGCAGC